rnacentral:tRNA from 2 species
GCGCCUGUAGCUCAGCUGGAUAGAGCAACGGACUUCUAAUCCGUAGGUCGCAGGUUCGAAUCCUGCCAGGCGUGCCA